rnacentral:ncRNA from 2 species
AUAGACGCUUUUUGAAAAUGAGGAACUGUUAUAAAAAAGAAAGUCUCCUUGAGACCCAAGGAGAAUAAAUCUGACUAAAUGCUGGAAACCCUGUGUAUCUGGUACUACUGUCUAUCAAAAAAAGAUUGUAAAAAUGUAUCCAGUGCAGAUGAUCAGCAGGAAAGACCCCGUCUUUGGCGGGGAAUCCUCAGAGACUAUAUGUCAGAGUACGUUCAGUUUACAUGAACGUACAAGAUAUAGUCCGAACUGUAUGGCGACAUACAG